GAUGAACGCUGGCGGCGUGCCUAAUACAUGCAAGUCGAGCGAACGGACGAGAAGCUUGCUUCUCUGAUGUUAGCGGCGGACGGGUGAGUAACACGUGGAUAACCUACCUAUAAGACUGGGAUAACUUCGGGAAACCGGAGCUAAUACCGGAUAAUAUUUUGAACCGCAUGGUUCAAAAGUGAAAGACGGUCUUGCUGUCACUUAUAGAUGGAUCCGCGUUGCAUUAGCUAGUUGGUAAGGUAAAGGCUUACCAAGGCAACGAUGCAUAGCCGACCUGAGAGGGUGAUCGGCCACACUGGAACUGAGACACGGUCCAGACUCCUACGGGAGGCAGCAGUAGGGAAUCUUCCGCAAUGGGCGCAAGCCUGACGGAGCAACGCCGCGUGAGUGAUGAAGGUCUUCGGAUCGUAAAACUCUGUUAUUAGGGAAGAACAUAUGUGUAAGUAACUGUGCCCAUCUUGACGGUACCUAAUCAGAAAGCCACGGCUAACUACGUG
rnacentral:rRNA from 1 species